rnacentral:rRNA from 1 species
UAGGGAACCUUCCACAAUGGACGAAAGUCUGAUGGAGCAACGCCGCGUGAGUGAAGAAGGUUUUCGGAUCGUAAAGCUCUGUUGUUGGUGAAGAAGGAUAGAGGCAGUAACUGGUCUUUAUUUGACGGUAAUCAACCAGAAAGUCACGGCUAACUACGUGCCAG